rnacentral:rRNA from 1 species
AGUAACGUUGGCGGCGUGCCUAACACAUGCAAGUCGAACGCGUCCUAAGGGCAACUUUAGGAUGAGUGGCGAACGGGUGAGUAUCACGUGGGUAAUCUUCCUUCAAGUGGGGAAUAAGCUCUCGAAAGGGAGUCUAAUACCGCAUGACAUUCCGGGACACAAGUCCCGUAAUCAAAGCCGCAAGGCGCUUGAAGAUGAGCCUGCGUCCUAUUAGCUAGUUGGUGGGGUAACGGCCUACCAAGGCUUAGAUGGGUAGCCGGCCUGAGAGGGUGAACGGCCACACUGGGACUGAGACACGGCCCAGACUCCUACGGGAGGCAGCAGUGAGGAAUUUUGCGCAAUGGGGGAAACCCUGACGCAGCGACGCCGCGUGGAGGAUGAAGGCCUUCGGGUCGUAAACUCCUGUCAGAGGUGAAGAAUACCCGCAAGGGUUUGACGGUAACCUCAGAGGAAGCCCCGGCUAACUACGUG